AUUUGAACCCAACUUCCAUUAAAACAAGGAUUGAAAC
rfam:Candidatus Magnetoovum chiemensis strain CS-04 SAG2822, whole genome shotgun sequence.